CAUGUCUCUCCGUUCGCAUCUCGAUGUUCCCGAAAAUCGUAAAGAUAGGUAAUUUUUUACGAGAAUCACGAACGAACUAACAGAUCGAACGUCUAAUCGGAAUUAAAUGCGAGACGACAACUCAUAUUUACUUCGAAACGGAACAUUCAUCAUAUAAAUAACCCCGUAAAGCGGUAAGGGGAUUCAAAGCCACCAACGGCCAGUCCCGAUAAACAAUAAAAAUGGCCAAAAUAGGCCCAUACAAAUCUCUCGGCCACACUCAGCACACUCGGCCACAGACAUAAAAUACAAAGACGAGCAUCUUUCUUUCGAUAACUACUCCGCCUCUCAUAAUCCAAAGUGAAAGUCCCCGGACAACGAAGCACUGAACGCAUCCGCGGGACGAUCCACUUCCUCGCCACCAUCAGGAAACCCGGUCGGAACCUCCUCGGUAUCAGGGGAAACCGGGAUGGAAUCCCAGAACCCUUGAAUCCGCUCAUCGAUCGAAGGGAUGAGCGCCUCAGCGUGGGCACGUUCGUUCAUGCCGCUCUUCAUCAAGCUCAUUUCCUCCUGGAACACAUAGUCAUCGGCUUGCGUCCUCCAAAGAC
rnacentral:lncRNA from 1 species